CUGGAUAUCCCCUUUGUUCUUGUACAAGGGCACCACAGUACUCCACCUCCACUUAUCCGGCAUCCUUUUGGUCCUGAAGAUCGCAUUGAAGAACCUGGAGAGCCACUCCACUCCUGACCUACCCAUGCACUUCCAGAACUCCACCGAGAUCUCGUCAGGCUCGGUCGCUCGACCCCUACUCAUCUUACGCAAAGCCCUCAUGACCUCC
rnacentral:lncRNA from 1 species